rnacentral:rRNA from 1 species
AGAUGGCGACCGGCGCACGGGUGAGUAACACGUAUCCAACCUGCCGAUAACUCGGGGAUAGCCUUUCGAAAGAAAGAUUAAUACCCGAUGGUAUAAUCAGACCGCAUGGUUUGAUUAUUAAAGAAUUUCGGUUAUCGAUGGGGAUGCGUUCCAUUAGGUAGUUGGUGAGGUAACGGCUCACCAAACCUUCGAUGGAUAGGGGUUCUGAGAGGAAGGUCCCCCACAUUGGAACUGAGACACGGUCCAA